rnacentral:rRNA from 1 species
GAUGAACGCUGGCUGUGUGCCUACUACAUGCAUGUCGAGCGAAGCACUUUUGUGCUUAGCGGCGAAUGGGUGAGUAACACGUACUUAACCUACCCUCAAGAUUGGGACAACACUUGGAAACGAGUGCUAAUACCAAAUACGUAUUUUUAUCGCAUGAUAGAUAUAUAAAAGGAGCUUCGGCUUCACUAGAGGAUGGGAGUGCGCUACAUUAGUUAGUUGGUAGGGUAAUGGCCUACCAAGACUAUGAUGUAUAGCGGGGCCGAGAGGCUGAUCCGCCACACUGGGACUGAGAUACGGCCCAGACUCCUACGGGAGGCAGCAGUAGGGAAUUUUCCACAAUGAACGAAAGUUUGAUGGAGCGACACAGCGUGCAGGAUGAAGGUCUUCGGAUUGUAAACUGCUGUUAUAAGAGAAGAAAAACCCUGGUAGGUAAUGACCAGGACUUGACGGUACCUUAUCAGAAAGCGACGGCUAACUAUGUGCCAGCAGCCGCGGUAAUACAUAGGUCGCAAGCGUUAUCCGGAAUUAUUGGGCGUAAAGAGUUCGUAGGUGGUUUUGUAAGUCUGAAGUUAAAUACCGGGGCUCAACCCCGGCCCGCUUUGGAUACUGCAAAACUAGAGUAAUAGAGAGGUUAGUGGAACUCCAAGUGAAGCGGUGGAAUGCGUAGAUAUUUGGAAGAACACCAAUGGCGAAGGCAACUAACUGGAUAUUAACUGACACUGAGGAACGAAAGCGUGGGUAGCAAACAGG